UAACACAUGCAAGUCGAGCGGUAGAGAGAAGCUUGCUUCUCUUGAGAGCGGCGGACGGGUGAGUAAUGCCUAGGAAUCUGCCUGGUAGUGGGGGAUAACGCUCGGAAACGGACGCUAAUACCGCAUACGUCCUACGGGAGAAAGCAGGGGACCUUCGGGCCUUGCGCUAUCAGAUGAGCCUAGGUCGGAUUAGCUAGUUGGUGAGGUAAUGGCUCACCAAGGCGACGAUCCGUAACUGGUCUGAGAGGAUGAUCAGUCACACUGGAACUGAGACACGGUCCAGACUCCUACGGGAGGCAGCAGUGGGGAAUAUUGGACAAUGGGCGAAAGCCUGAUCCAGCCAUGCCGCGUGUGUGAAGAAGGUCUUCGGAUUGUAAAGCACUUUAAGUUGGGAGGAAGGGCAUUAACCUAAUACGUUGGUGUCUUGACGUUACCGACAGAAUAAGCACCGGCUAACUCUGUGCCAGCAGCCGCGUUAAUACAGAGGGUGCAAGCGUUAAUCGGAAUUACUGGGCGUAAAGCGCGCGUAGGUGGUUCGUUAAGUUGGAUGUGAAAUCCCCGGGCUCAACCUGGGAACUGCAUUCAAAACUGACGAGCUAGAGUAUGGUAGAGGGUGGUGGAAUUUCCUGUGUAGCGGUGAAAUGCGUAG
rnacentral:rRNA from 1 species